CUUACGCGUAGGGCUACACACGUGCUACAAUGGUCGGUACAGAGGGUUGCAAUGCCGCGAGGUGGAGCCAAUCCCAGAAAACCGGUCGUAGUCCGGAUCGGAGUCUGCAACUCGACUCCGUGAAGUCGGAAUCGCUAGUAAUCGCGAAUCAGAAUGUCGCGGUGAAUACGUUCCCGGGCCUUGUACACACCGCCCGUCACACCAUGGGAGUGGGUUGCACCAGAAGUAGCUAGUCUAACCUUCGGGAGGACGGUUACCACGGUGUGAUUCAUGACUGGGGUGAAGUCGUAACAAGGUAGCCGUAGGGGAACCUGCGGCUGGAUCACCUCCUUA
rnacentral:rRNA from 1 species